rnacentral:rRNA from 1 species
CGUACACUCCUACGGGAGGCAGCAGUGGGGAAUAUUGGACAAUGGGCGCAAGCCUGAUCCAGCCAUGCCGCGUGAGUGAUGAAGGCCCUAGGGUUGUAAAGCUCUUUCACCGGUGAAGAUAAUGACGGUAACCGGAGAAGAAGCCCCGGCUAACUUCGUGCCAGCAGCCGCGGUAAUACGAAGGGGGCUAGCGUUGUUCGGAUUUACUGGGCGUAAAGCGCACGUAGGCGGACUAUUAAGUCAGGGGUGAAAUCCCGGGGCUCAACCCCGGAACUGCCUUUGAUACUGGUAGUCUUGAUUUCGAGAGAGGUGAGUGGAAUUCCGAGUGUAGAGGUGAAAUUCGUAGAUAUUCGGAGGAACACCAGUGGCGAAGGCGGCUCACUGGCUCGAUACUGACGCUGAGGUGCGAAAGCGUGGGGAGCAAACAGGAUUAGAAACCCCAGUAGUCCCAUGAU